CGUUCAGCAGUGCAGCACACGUAAUAGUUCCAUCCUUUUUACUGUAACUGCCGACUCGUUGGCGCCUUCAAACCUAAAACCCUUCGGUACCUUCAAUUUCAUUUUCUAUCAGUUUCGCUUAUUUUUCUCGUAGUUACUUAAAUGAUUCACUGUCCCGAAUGAUCGCCUCUACUUCUAUAUUUCCACCUCCGAAAGGCAUCUCUGUUUUCAAUCCCACUUGUCUCUAUUCCGCCGGCGGUGGCGGUGGAUUGUUCUGUUCUGUUCCUUUAGGUCGUGGAUUAAAAUUGAGUUUCCGCGCGGCGGCGGUGAGGAUGGAGGUGAUGAAGAGAAUGAGCGGCGGAUGUUUUAAAGGAGGAAAUGGAAAAACGCUUAAGGUUGAAGUUGAUAGCGGCGGAGAAGAUGUUUUUGAUGCUGCCGCUGUUGAUUCUGCUGUUCCCCCUAAUCAUCUUGUCAUUAUGGUUAAUGGAAUCGUUGGGAGUUCUGCAGACUGGAAGUAUGCUGCAGAGCAAUUCGUGAAGAAAUUUCCUGAUAAAGUAAUAGUGCACCGCAGUGAAUGCAACUAUUCAAAACUUACAUUUGAUGGUGUUGAUUUGAUGGGUGAAAGGCUAGCUCAAGAGGUGUUGGCUGUUGUCAAACAUAAGCCUGAGAUGCAGAAGAUCUCUUUUGUGGCUCACUCGCUAGGUGGUCUUGUUGCGAGGUAUGCUAUUGCGCGGCUGUAUGAAACUUUACCAAAAUUGGGUCUCUCUAGUGUUUCUGGUGAUUUCUUAAGUGAAAAACAUAUGAAACGAGUGGAAUGUACUGAGCAGCCUUGUGAAGCAAGAAUAGCUGGAUUACAACCCAUGAACUUCAUAACAUUUGCAACACCACAUCUUGGCUCAAGAGGAAAUAAACAGCUCCCAUUUCUCUGUGGUCUGCCUUUUCUCGAGAGAAGAGCAUCUCAAACUGCUCAUUUAAUUGUUGGGAGGACUGGAAAGCAUCUCUUUCUCACUGACAAUGACGGUGGGAAACCUCCCCUUCUCCUGCAAAUGGUUAAUGAUUCUGAUGACCUGAAAUUCAUAUCAGCUUUACGUGCAUUUAAGCGCCGUGUGGCGUAUGCAAAUGCAAAUUAUGAUCAUAUGGUUGGGUGGAGGACUUCAUCAAUCAGACGUCAGCAUGAACUACCAAAGCCCAACCUUCUUGUAACGGAUCAGAAAUACCCACAUAUUGCAUAUGUUGAGCUAGAAACUAUGGAAGAAGGCUAUAAUACAGCACCGACUGUCACUAGGGAACAAACAACUGAUUUGGAAGAGGAGAUGAUAAAAGGUCUCACUCAAGUACCUUGGGAACGCAUAGAUGUAAGCUUUCAUAAAAGCAGACAGCGGUAUAUUGCUCAUAGUACAAUUCAGGUGAAGACAUACUGGUUAAAUUCUGAUGGAGCAGAUGUCGUUUUUCAUAUGAUAGAUAACUUCCUUCUCUAGCUAUCCAUGAGUUGGUUUCUUCCAACUGGUGAUCUAAUACUGGGUGAAGGAACCAUUUCAAAUGGCUUUAAAUGUUGAGUAUCAUCAAAUAGAGGGAAAGGAGGAGAAAAAUGAGAAAGAACACAAAAUUGCAUUUGAAGCAAGCGAAACAGUUUUACAACCAGUUUGGACCUUUUUGGAUAUAGAUUAUGUCUUAUUAUUCUGCAAAUUCUUACCAUUCCACUGUGGUUGGUUCUGCACCUCAAGUGUCUCUUUAAGCGCAAUGUGCUUGUUUCCCCUUUAGCACACCCUUUAGGAACCUGGUAUGCAAUAUGGAGUUGAGGGAAGAUGAGCUUCAAGAGGAUGAAUAACCUCGCAGACAAGAGUUGCAUAGAAGAAUUUACCUUCUUAUAUAGCUGAAUAAGGUUACAAUCAUCAAAAGGUAGAUAGCCAGCAAGUAGUUCAAAAAGGAUUACUCCGCAUGACCAAACAUCUGCGGCUGCUCCAUCAUAACCCUUAUUUGUCAGAAGCUGUUCAGCAAAAAGAUGAAUCAUCAGCUUCAAUGCUGAGUGAGGAAUUCAGGUAUGUGUUUCUUUCUGAGGAAGGCUAGUCUGUAUUUUCAACUCUCUUCUUUUCUCACAUGUUACUAUCAGGAAUCAGAUCUUAAAAACUGUAAGGAAAAGAAAAGAUAACUUGAAUCUAGCUUCUAACCUCAGGUGCUACAUAGCAGGGAGAGCCACAGGCUGUAGUUAGAAUAUCACCAUGCUGUCAAUCAAUGAGUUCUUAGCCAACACUUGUGAAAAUUUUUUUCAAACUAGGUUCUACUGACAAUUGGCAUGCACAGGAAAAAUAUUGCUAGGUUGUUGGUACCUUGUGCAAUGCACUUAAUCCAAAGUCUGAUACUUUCAGUCUUCCGUGAUUGUCCAAGAGCAAGUUUUCUGGCUGCACGCAAGAUGAUUAGUUAAUUAGCUAAGUUAUUUCUAGAAAAUUGGCAAAUACCGCCAAGUAGUAAUAUCUUAUUGACCUUUAGGUCUCUGUGAUAAACUCCUCUGUUGUGACAAUAGUCAACUGCAUCUAUCAAUUGCUGGAACAUCUUUCUUGCCUCUGAUUCAUUCAGCUUCUUGGAAUAUGACUGAGUAAUCAGGGGUUAUGGGGAUUAGAGACACAGAAAACAUUAAGACUGCCUCAAAAGUCAAAAAUACCACUUUUGAAUGGCAGGUGUAGUUCCUCACCAACUUGUCCGAUAGUUGUCCUCCUGACACAUAUUCCAUUACAAUAUAGAUUUUCGUCUUUGUGCCAAUAACCUGUGAUUGCAAUUCAACACAAAGAAGGGAUAGAAGAUGCAUGAGCAAGAGGGCUUCUAACUAUUAGGGGAAGAAAUUUAGUUAAGACCACAUGCAACUGGAAGGAAACCUCGUGUAUCCUAACAAUAUUAGGGUGAUUCAGGAGCUUCAUGUUUCUGAUUUCCCUUUGUACCUGAAAUUAACAUUUUCAUCUAUCAGAAUGAAACAGAUUGAAUGUGCAGAGCAAGCAAAUUGCUAUCUUCCUAAGGGAACUCGUUUGCAAUAAGAAGAAAGGUAAGAACAAAUCAAAGAUGUGGAAAUUAACCUGGGACUUGAGAUUGCUUUCUACAGCCAUGUGCUUAUCAAUGAUCUUGAUUGCAACAUAAUGUGCAGUGAUGCUAUCUACAGCUAGUUUAACCUUGGCAAAUGUUCCUUCUCCAAUUGUUCUGCCAAGAUGAUACUUCCCUAUGUUGUUUGCAAAUCCCAUUUUCAUAUAACAACCGUUCUUCUUGCCAAAAUACUCCUUUAUUCUUUGCUUAAUCCCUGCUUCUUGUGGAUUAUGGUAUUUAUACUCCUCGCAAAUGUUCUUUAUGUAUGCUGUGCCUUGAAUUCCUGUGAAAGAUGAAAGCAAUUUGACUUGGUUUAGGGGACAACUCGUGCUUGUUCCUCACAGCUGCCAUACUUGUGGUUCCUGUGCCUCUUUUAAAAAGGAGUGAUAUAAAAGUCUUUAGACGCUCAAAUGCAUAAAUAUAUUUGUGAGGUUUAGAAAGGUUCAUACUUUGCAGCUUUGCAUGGAAGGGGAGAUGACCAGUUGAUAGUUGGCUAGUUUGGCUAGUUGGUGAAUGUGUUUUGAAUGGAGGUUAGAUGUUCGUGUCUGGACUAUAGCCUCCAAGCAAGGUCAAUUUGUGGAUUAUAAAUAUUUAGCGGAAGGAGCCAAGUUAUUUUGCAUUUUAGUAGGGAAGUUUCUUUCAUCCCGUAACACAAAUAUAAAUGGAAUGUGACAUCAAUGCUUUAGAUAUAUCUCUUGAUGGAGCCGAGGGAUGUAGACAUACUUCUCGUUCAGGCUAGGUAAACAGGACACGAAACUCCUAAUUUCCUACCAAGUGUUUCCUAGGUCACUUGCCCUUGAAUCAACCAAUCUUUUUUCUUAUUUAUUUCUUUGAAUGCUGAAGUACAUACGACUACAUGCAUAUUAAUCGUCAAGUUUUCUUUUUUUACUCAAGUUGAAAUAUGUAUCUACUGUGAGGUUAAGUCUUUGCCACGUGAGUAAGAGUCUUGUCUCUUUUUUUAUUCGGGCAUAUAUGGGUGAAUAGUUUGUGGUUUUCUUAAUACAAUUAAAGCUAGUGACAUAUGGAUAUGUUUGGAAUA